rnacentral:rRNA from 1 species
GACGAAGGUGGCGAGCGUUGUUCGGAAUCACUGGGCAUAAAGCGCACGUAGGCGGUGACGUAAGUCGGGUGUGAAAUCCCUCGGCCUAACCGAGGAACUGCGCCCGAUACUGCGUUGCUUGAGGACCAGAGGGGUGCAUGGAAUUUCCGGUGGAGCGGUGAAAUGCGUUGAUAUCGGAAGGAACUCCGGCGGCGAAAGCGAUGCACUGGCUGGUUUCUGACGCUGAGGUGCGAAAGCCAGGGGAGCGAACGGG